rnacentral:tRNA from 1 species
CAAGGGAUAGUUUAAUUAGAAUAUUAAUUUUGGAGAUUAAUGGUAAGUAGUUUUACUUUCCUUUGA